AUUGAACGCUGGCGGCGUGGAUAAGACAUGCAAGUCGAACGGGAUAUUCUUGGUAGCAAUAUUAAGGAUGUCUAGUGGCGUAAGGGUGCGUAACACGUGGGGAAUCUGCCGAGAAGUGGGGGAUAGCUCGUCGAAAGGCGAAUUAAUACCGCAUGUGGUUAGUGAAGACAUCUUCACGAUACCAAAGCCGGGGCAACCUGGCGCUUCUUGAUGACCCCGCGGCCUAUCAGCUAGUUGGUGAGGUAACGGCUCACCAAGGCUAUGACGGGUAGCUGGUCUGAGAGGACGACCAGCCACACUGGAACUGAGACACGGUACAGACACCUACGGGUGGCAGCAGUCGAGAAUUUUUCUCAAUGGGGGAAACCCUGAAGGAGCGACGCCGCGUGGAGGAUGAAGGUCUUCGGAUUGUAAACUCCUGUCAUUUGGGAACAAUUGUUGGCGAUUAACUGUCGUCAGCUUGAUAGUACCAGAAGAGGAAGAGACGGCUAACUCUGUGCCAGCAGCCGCAGUAAUAC
rnacentral:rRNA from 1 species